GGGGGUGUAGCUCAGUGGGAGAGCACCUGGUUUGCAACCAGGAAGUCACGGGUUCGAAUCCCGUCACCUCCA
rfam:Planctomycetes bacterium SM23_65 WORSMTZ_24026, whole genome shotgun sequence.